GCUUUAAAGGAUUUUUCAAAAGUAGGAGAAAGAACCUGUUUGUAAGUAGAGGGAAGAUACGGUAGAGAGGGAGAGAUCAUAGGGUGUAAGACCGAUGGAUUCACCCAGGGAUGGGACUUGCUGAGCAGUUGAAGCAAAAGAAUAGAGUGACUGGGAAGGGAAGAAAAUGAAGUCAAACGAAAGCUAAUAGAAUGGGGUGGCGGAGUGCGGGGCUUAACGGGCUGAGGGGUGUCUAUAUUCCAGACGUGGGAUUUGGAGUUGUUCUGGCUAAUGUCAAAGACCACACACAAGGACAUGGACGUCAACGGUUCAUUCACAUGAGAUGACAGUUACCCAGGAUGAACCAACUGCAAAAAGCUGUCUGUGGAUGGUAACUGCAGUUUACAGUCAUUCCUAUGAUCUCAGCACUAUGUGGGUUUAAUCAGCCUUCUGCUAAAAGGAACCAGGUCCAAGACAUUCAGCAUGGCAUGGUAGCUAAGCAAGAUCCAGUGUCUUCAUUCAGCACUGACAGAGUCACUGUCUCUGAGCAGUACUUAGCUACAGAAACUUUGAAGCCUUCUGCAAUUUAUUAUGCUGAGUGCAUCUAAUCAACAUGUAGAAUAAAGAUGGAGCUCCAGAGAAGUUAGCACGCAAUCUGGGUGACAGGUGCUGAGCAAGGACAGCCUCUUCCCAAUACUCUCCAAGCGGCCUGCUGUUUCCAGGGAAUGAUAUUAUCAUUCUUGGCAUCUAGAACAGGACUCAAUGUAAGAUUGUCUAAGGCAGUCACUGGCUACAGUUCAUGGAAGCUUCAGGACGGCACUUGGCAUGA
rnacentral:lncRNA from 1 species